rnacentral:rRNA from 1 species
AUUGAACGCUGGCGGCAGGCCUAACACAUGCAAGUCGAACGAGUGGCGGACGGGUGAGUAAUGUCUGGGAAACUGCCUGAUGGAGGGGGAUAACUACUGGAAACGGUAGCUAAUACCGCAUACCAUCAGAUGUGCCCAGAUGGGAUUAGCUAGUAGGUGGGGUAAUGGCUCACCUAGGCGACGAUCCCUAGCUGGUCUGAGAGGCUGACCAGCCAAACUGGAACGGAGACACGGUCCAGACUCCUACUGGAGGCAGAAGUGGGGAAGAUUGAAAAAGGGGCUCAAGCCUGAUGCAGCCAUGCCGCUUGUGUGAAGAAGGCCUUCGGGUUGUAAAGCACUUUCAGCGAGGAGGCGUUACUCGCAGAAGAAGGACCGGCUAACUCCGUGACAGCAGCCGCGGUAAUAC